AUUGACGCUCCCCUUUGCGUGACGAGGUGCUCCUCGGGCGCUGCUCUACCUCGCACUUACUUUCACUCACUCAUCCGCCGCUGUUCUUGUGACUGGGCCAAGUGACUUCCUGCGAAUGCACGUAAUUCCGAUUUCCAGAUAAGUGAAGGUAGAAGGGCGGAAUCGGAGGGCGCUUCUUGGUUGUGGUGCUUUGUUUCAGUUUGCAGGGAUAAAUGCCCAGUCUACUGAAUGUCUCUAUUCAUCCCAGGAAUCAGUCUAUUGAACUAUUGUUGCAUUUCUUCUAGGGAAGUACGUAUUUCCUCAGGCCUGAAUAAUAGCUUGCUAACACCGUCAGCAGCCAGGACAAGGCAACGCCUCACAGGACUCUGUAAAGUUCUCCCCAAGUGUCACAAGCAUUGGUAUAGCUAUCUAGAAAAACAGGAUGUUGAUAGUGAACUUGAGAAGGUAGCACUGGGUGAGUUGCUUUCUUCGAUGGUAGUGCCCAGAGAUCAGGACUGUUCAGAGCUACUUAUAAAAGAAGAUCACUAUUUGUCUGCACAAGAAAUUGGAGCAUGUCUUCAUCUCCUGUCAAUCAGGCUUGGAGUGUGGAGGAGAGUACUAGCCACAUCUCACUGUCAUACAAGAAAACUUCUCUGGACUGUGGUCUACCUUGGAUUUCAUAACAGCAACAGGGCAUCUGCAGCAGAGACCCCAGUGUCAGACCAUUGCUUUACAGUUGUUCAGUGACACCCUACAAGACACUCUAUAGCCCACUGUCAAUAUGCUGGAGGAUCAGAUUGAGAGAAUCUGAAGGCAGGGAUUCACAGACCAUCUUGUUACCCAGCGAUCUGCCCUUCUGUGGUUCAGCGGACACACUGAGGGACUGCCCAACACCAAAGAUAUUGUUGGAAAAAGAUAGAACUUCUGAAUCAAGCAAUGCCACAGCUAGCCCUCAUGUAUAAGUGACAAUAGGUCUACCUGAUUGUAGACAUGAUCAGCUAACCAUAGGUGUAGAUGUGGUUGAAACAGUUGCAGGUUAACCUAAAAGCAAUGUAAAAAGUAACAUGUCUGCUUAACUUCUCAGAGGCUUCCUGCUGGAGUCAGCUAGCACACUCACUUUCUAUAUUUAGAUGAAGUUACUGACUAAAGGGACCAAAAAAAUCAAAAGGAGAUAUUUGGGGAUCUAGCAAGGACCCAGGCUAGGUGGGCCUUACAUAUGCUGGCCAUGAGGCUGGUAGUUUUCCUUUCACCUGGAAUACCAGCUGCCAGGCAGAUCCUUAGCUUGACCUGGGGAAGAUCCCAUCCAGGGCCUUCCCACCCCCAAUGACAUGCACUCAGAUAUAGAAGACUGUGCCAGGAUGGGGAGUGGUUCAGCCCUGGGUAAGGGCCUCUUGGAAAUUAGCAAUGGAGGUUAGGUCUUAGAUUUGCUGGGUCCCAGCCUAAUUAAUGGGGCCUUCUGCUGCUUCAAUGGAGUGACCAUGCCAAAUAACUGGACUUUUGGGGAACAUACUGAUAAAUUUAAUAAAUAGAAAACUAUAGAUUGUGUGCUUGCAAUCUCCUGGAAGCAAUUUCCUGGUUUAUUAGGGUCAAUUACAAAUUUAUUGGGACAUGUAUUACACUGUGAAUGUGACUAACACAAGGAAGGGAUUGACUUUUGGAAUGGAUCCAGAUACUGAAAUGUGCUGAAUUCUUUAACAA